GACGAACGCUGGCGGCGUGCUUAACACAUGCAAGUCGAGCGAGGUCCAACCAGUGGCAACACUGGGGAAGACCUAGCGGCGAACGGGUGAGUAACACGUGAGCAACCUGCCCCGAAGACUGGGAUAACACCGGGAAACCGGUGCUAAUACCGGAUGCCCUCACCGGGCCGCAUGACCUGGUGAGGAAAUGAAUUUUGUCUUCGGGAGGGGCGUCGCGGGCUAUCAGCUUGUUGGUGGGGUAACGGCUCACCAAGGCUACGACGGCUAGCUGGUCUGAGAGGACGAUCAGCCACACUGGGACUGAGACACGGCCCAGACUCCUACGGGAGGCAGCAGUGGGGAAUCUUGCGCAAUGGGCGAAAGCCUGACGCAGCAACGCCGCAUGGGGGAUGAAUGCCUUCGGGUUGUAAACCCCUUUC
rnacentral:rRNA from 1 species